GGUUAGCAGAGUUAGCUUAACAGUUGCCAGUCAGAAUUUUGUUAGCCUGCUGAGGAGGCGUCAUUGUGUUCACUCAGUACUUACAGGUCCCACAACCACAGAAAAAGGGUGGGAAACACACACAUGAAGGGAUGGAGAGAUGGAUGGAAGGAACAGAUGACAAGGAGACAAGGGUGACGCGACAUGAGGCAUGGGGGAGAAAAGGAAAAGAGAGGAAAGAAAGAGUGGAGGGAACAUCAGAGGGAUCAGGCUGGCUUAGUUUAUUGGAAGCAGAUGGCAGACCAAAGGCAAGAGGGCCACAGUUUCAUGAAGCGUAGUUUGAACAUGCCAGGACCAUGUCGAGGGGCAUGCCCAUACCAUAGAUGAUGGCUACAUGCAGUGGGAAGAACAAGCACAUUGUGGAGCAGGGAUUUGGGAAAGCCCACGUGUGUUGUUGGAUUUGAG